GGUUUCUCUGGGCUUGACACGAAAGCACUUCUCCUGGAGAGAAAGCAGGAGCUCCAGCAGUCUCGUUUUCAGAGAGCUGUGAACAUGACCAGACCUAUUAAUUACUUAAUUGAGGCUCUGGGCUUUGAAGAUGAAAAGUGCUGUGUAAGUGGAAAAUGCAUCACAUCGCACACGAGCGCUAAACCACCGACCUACGAUCUGCUCUUGGAGCACUGCCUGUCCUCUGGCUGAUGUGGUCGAGCACCUCCGGUCACGCCGCCCCGCCACCCUUCCGUGUGGGCACCUUGUCUCCCCGACUUGAUGCCAAGCCUUGGACACCAGCAUCGCGUCCCCAGCCUCCCUCCGUUUGUCACAAGGCUGAGCGUGGCUCUCUCCGUGAACACUUGUCAGUGACAUCUUGUCUUCCUUGCCUCCUCUGGGCCACCCGGUGACCUCAGCCUCAUCUUUACCUUGGAUCAUCCCACCGUCUGUUGACAUAUAAGAAGAGAAAAUGGAAAGAUGAGAAGAAAAUAAAAGAAAAAGAAAAAAGAAAAAAAUUCUACUGAUCUGAACAGAAAUAGUUUCCCAGUGGAAAAGAACAGAGAAGCCAAGUGAGAUGAAGGCGAGAGAGAGAGGAUUAAGAUUCGAGAUUCCCACCCCGGACCCAAGAGGCUGAGGCGUUUCGAGUUUCGACUUUACAAGAUGGGAAGGAUUCUAGAGACAGGUGUUGGUGACAGUUGCAAACAUAAUGGACACAUUUAAUACCACCGAAUUGCUCACUGAAAAAUGCUUAUGAUGGUAAAUUUUACGUAGGCGUAUUUUACCACAAUAAUAAGAAAAAAAAAAUUAAAACGCCCCCAAAGUUUCCCAUUUGGUUCAACCUCCCAUUCAAGUUGAUUGAGCAACUAAGAGUUUCCAUUUGAUAUAUGUAUCGCAUUUUAUCACAGAAAUCGAAACUAUAAAAUAAAUUCCAGGCUUCAUACAAAAUAUCAAGUAGAAUUGUCGAUUUAAAAUAAAUAGGAGAAAUGCUCCAGGGGCAAGGAGUGACGGAGGCGGGAAAUGAGAGAGCUUUCGACGGUGAUGGUAAUGGCCAUCUUGCAAAAAAGAUUUAGGUUACAUGGGUGCAAGCAUGUACACUAAGAUUCUUGACUGUAAAUUUGACAUCGAAAGAAAAAAAUCUAUAAAUAUUUAACUCGAAAAAAAGUGGAGACCCAGGAGAGGGCUCGGUCAGGUGUUUCUGAUGGAUGAGAAGCCACGGCGCCCUCAUGGAGUAGUCAUCUGCUCACAGGCCCGAGCUGAGUUGGUGGGGACUGAAUGGGUCACUCCUUUUGCACUGGUCCAUGGCUCCAGGGUGCCCGGCUCAGGUCAGAGCCUCUUUAGCCUGCGGCAUCACCGUGCGGCUGACGGGCCAUCUUCCCUUCAAGUUUCCAAGAGCUAUGGUCUUGCUUGGACUUGGAGAAAAAGAAGGCCUAUGGCAGGGCCAGGGAAGGUUCCAGAUGUUCUCAAGUCCCUGAGCGCCGUUACGGUGUAGCCCAGAGCAUCUAGGUGUGGAACAGUGCAUCCCUGCCUUGGGACACAUCAGGCAAGCGAGGUUAAAAAUACAAAACCGGAUGUAAGGGUCCAUUGAGAGGCCUUUCUGCCCACCCCUUAAGCUGGCAUGUUUGUGGCUUUGGCAAUCGGAUUUCGAAGGACAAGGUGACAUCAACCCUCUGUGCCCCUGCUCCAAAUGUCCUCUAUUCACCGACAAGGUGUUUCUCGAGAAGUGGACACAUAGAAGAAAAGAAAGAAACAGAGAAAGAAACUGAAAGAAGAGAUUGAGAGAGAUGAUUGACAGAUAUCCAUACACAGAGCACACAGAUGGCUAGAGGGAGACAGAGAUCCUUCGGGACCAAUGAAGAAAGAUGCACACACGGGGCACACUUACAAACGGAGACGCAAACACUCCAUCAGGAAGACACACUUUCAACUUGGGAUCUGAUAGACCAUCUCCUAAAAGAUUAAAAAUCGUGAUGCAUCUUCACAACCACAGCACAAAUGCAGAUUGCACCUGGUGGGUUCGCCUCGGUCAGACAGUGUUAGCUCAAGGUCAGAUAUCAUAGGGACUGUCCCUGCUCCUGAUUUAUUUGGAUGACUCAUGGGUCCGAAUUUGGUGAUCAGCUUUUCAAAUUCCCCUCCUCGGCUAAGAAAGGUUUUUAAGCACCAUUUAUGCUCUUAGGAUAUUUGGGUGUGAAGUGGGCACAAUGGCCUCUCAGAUCUUCCCAGGUCCUAAUCUUUAGAACCUGUGACUAUGUUGUGUCUCCUGUCAGGGGGAAUUCAGGUGACAGAUGGAAAUAAGAUGGCUUACCAGCCGAUGUUAAAAUAAAGAGAUUAUUCUGGA